UGUAAGCCAGGUUGGUUUCUAUCUUUUUAAAUAUAAAAUAUUUUAGUACGAAAGGAUCAAAUAUUUUAAUUAAAUUAAUUUUAAAGAAUAUUAUUAAUUAAAUUUAAAUUUUUAAUAUAGUAAAAAUAAUUAUUAAUAUAAAUUAAUUAAUUAAUAA
rnacentral:rRNA from 1 species